AUACGUCGGCAUUGGGAUUGGUGUCUUUGUGUUGGUUCUCAUAGCUGCAGCAGUUAUUAUCAUCGCGUACAAGAAACGCCGCAGACAGCUGCAUACUGAAGAUCCAUAUUCCCGAUACACUCUAAAAGCUGAUAAAUGUGAUGUGCCCGCAGACAAGGAAAAUGUGCCGCCGCCCGUUCCACAUCGUGUCCAACGGAAGUCCAGACAUUUAUACCUCAGGCUGGAUGGUGACGUUUAUGAUGCAAUAGAGGACACCGUAAGCUCAGUAUUGCCGCCCAGACCCGCCCUGCCUACUCCGCCGGGCGACAAGAGCAGCGCAGACAACGAGUACAGUGUACCUUACACUGGUCUCUCCUUUGCUCCCAAGGGACAUACCGGCACCACUUAAUACAAAUGACAAUCUGUUACUUCCA